rnacentral:lncRNA from 1 species
GGGGAAUUUACAUGUGGGUUACAGGGAAGACUAGAUUAUUACAUCAAAAUUAAUUUUGUUUUAUUUGCUCCUAAUUUAUAGGUGAAAAUGCUAUUUUACAUGGAAACCUAUUUUGUUCCAUAAAACUAAAUAAACCAUAACCCAGAAGUGCAAUGAGACACACACAGCAUGAACAUUAUUUCUGAAAGCUGAAGAGUUGCCAGUCUGUUGAUCUCAAACUUCAUGAACCACACAGUUCAGUUCAAAUUGUUUCCCUGAAAUAGCUUUGAGCCUCUGCCAAACAGCCACUGAAGGACUCUGAAAAAUACAAGAACUGAAAGGGGCACAUGGCAUCAUAAACUUUCAUUUCAGAGAGCAGUAAAAGAGGAGAAGAAGAACACACUGGUACUCCAACAAGUCAUAGUUUCUGCCAGAUGUUGCAAAAGUGAGUUAGAUAACUGACCUUUCUUCUGGGGCCUGUGUCAACUUUGAAUGGAGCUUUCAAUUGCACAAUAAGCAUCUGGACAGUUUUGACAUCUUUAUAACACUCUUUGAGUUCUUAAAAAGCUACCAUUUUGUUUAAAGAUGAUUUAUGUGAAGAUUAAAACAAUUACUUAAGUGCUAAGAAUAAUUAAUCCUGUAACUCAAUAUCAAUACCAUUAUCUUCCCGGAACUGGGUCUCUAACUACUGAUCAUAAUCAAGACACCAACUGUCAAAUCAAAUCAAAAUUAAAAUUUGAUUAAUUAUUUGAUGAUAUUAACAUUCAAAUCUAGUUCCUUCCUAGGCCUAAUUUUGUCCUUAUGUUUGCUUUGCACUGAAUUAUUGUGGUUUAAAUAGCCCGUUUUACACGACCACUUUCAAACAAGAGCAUAAAUUCUCACAAAAACAGGCUAAGGAAUUCAUAAUCAUAGCUCUUGGCCGCCACCUAAAGGUUUAUUUCUUGUUUUAUUUUACAUGAGACCUACUAUGCAUUCCUUUUAUAAUAAAAUUGUUGUCUUGUCA